GUCUACAGCCACACCACCCUAAGAGCACCCAGUCUCAUCUGAUCUCAGAAAAUAAGCAGGGUCAGGCCUGGUUAGGACUUGGAAAGGAAACCUCCUGGGAAUGCCAUGUCCUGUACGAUU
rnacentral:rRNA from 1 species